rnacentral:rRNA from 1 species
AGUGAACGCUGGCGGUAGGCCUAACACAUGCAAGACGAACGGCAGCACAGUAAGAGCUUGCUCUUACGGGUGGCGAGUGGCGGACGGGUGAGGAAUACAUCGGAAUCUACUUUUUCGUGGGGGAUAACGUAGGGAAACUUACGCUAAUACCGCAUACGACCUACGGGUGAAAGCAGGGGAUCUUCGGACCUUGCGCGAUUGAAUGAGCCGAUGUCGGAUUAGCUAGUUGGCGGGGUAAAGGCCCACCAAGGCGACGAUCCGUAGCUGGUCUGAGAGGAUGAUCAGCCACACUGGAACUGAGACACGGUCCAGACUCCUACGGGAGGCAGCAGUGGGGAAUAUUGGACAAUGGGCGCAAGCCUGAUCCAGCCAUACCGCGUGGGUGAAGAAGGCCUUCGGGUUGUAAAGCCCUUUUGUUGGGAAAGAAAAGCAGCAGGUUAAUACCCCGCUGUUCUGACGGUACCCAAAGAAUAAGCAUCGGCUAACUUCGUG